rnacentral:rRNA from 1 species
UGCGUCAGUAACGGCGAGUGAAGCGGCAAGAGCUCAAAUUUGAAAUCUGGCCCCUCCGGUCCGAGUUGUAAUUUGUAGAGGAUGCUUCGGGUGCGGCCCCCGUCUAAGUGCUCUGGAACGGGCCAUCGGAGAGGGUGAGAAUCCCGUCUGGGACGGGGUGUCCGCGUCCAUGUGAAGCUCCUUCGACGAGUCGAGUUGUUUGGGAAUGCAGCUCUAAAUGGGUGGUAAAUUUCAUCUAAAGCUAAAUACUGGCCGGAGACCGAUAGCGCACAAGUAGAGUGAUCGAAAGAUGAAAAGCACUUUGAAAAGAGAGUAAACAGCACGUGAAAUUGUUGAAAGGGAAGCGCUUGCGACCAGACUCGCUUCCGGGGUUCAGCGGCUUUCGGGCCGGUGUACUUCCCCGGGGGCGGGCCAGCGUCGGUUUGGGCGGCCGGUCAAAGGCCCCUGGAAUGUAACGCUCUCGGGGCGCCUUAUAGCCAGGGGUGUCAUGCGGCCAGCCUGGACCGAGGAACGCGCUUCGGCACGGACGCUGGCAUAAUGGUCGUAAACGACCCGUCUUGAAACACGGACCAAGGAGUCUAACAUCUACGCGAGUGUUCGGGUGUCAAACCCGUGCGCGCAGUGAAAGCGAACGGAGGUGGGAGCCCCCUGAGGGGCGCACCAUCGACCGAUCCUGAUGUCUUCGGAUGGAUUUGAGUAAGAGCGUAGCUGUGGGGACCCGAAAGAUGGUGAACUAUGCCUGAAUAGGGCGAAGCCAGAGGAAACUCUGGUGGAGGCUCGCAGCGGUUCUGACGUGCAAAUCGAUCGUCAAAUUUGGGUAUAGGGCGAAAGACU